GUCACCUGGACAUUUUGUUAAAAUGCAGAUUCUAGUCAGCAUAUCUGGGGUACACUCGGAGAUUCUGUAUUUUUAACAAAUGUCCAGGUGAUGCUAA
rnacentral:pre_miRNA from 1 species